rnacentral:lncRNA from 1 species
UUCACUGGUUCAUUGUCCACACCAGGAGGGAGAACUCUGAACUUCCCUUCCUCUCAGCCCUCGAGGAGCCCAUGGGCUUGUGUGGAACACAGCAACAACAAACCCACUGAUAAUUACAGUGUGACAUUGUGUUAGAAGAACACACUGAAGGCGAAUUCUGGAAAGUUCUCAGAAAGAACUUCUGUUUCUGGCACUCUGCCAGUCACCAAGAUCAGAGACGCGGUGGGGAGUGAUGUGGCCCGUGCGUGUUCCAAAGAACAGCUGCGACAAGGCUCCAGCCAAUUUUUGUCAUCCUAAAAGGACAUGACCGUGCUUGCAAUCAAGUGGUUUGCAAGUUGUUUAAUCUCAGCUUCCUGUCUCCAGGCACCACGGGGGCCUCGGUUAUCUUGUUGGUCACCGUGUCACCAGUGCCUCACACAAGGCCUGGCGCUUGGCAUGCAUUUGGUGAUGGACACAGCUGUAGAGCGACACACCUCCGACAGGUGAAGUGAGAAAUGAUCAGAUAGUUUGGCUUCCCCUGCAAAUGGAC